CCAGCCUGGGCAACAGAACGAGACUCUGUCUCAACAACAACAACAACAACAACAAGAAGGAACAAAUUGGGAAGCAUCACAAGCUGUGUGUGUUUAACGCUCGGGGGGAGGAGGUGCUUGUCUCCAGGGAGCUUCAGUUCCUGUUCUUUUUUGCUUUUGAGUGGAGAGGCAUUUGGGGGCAUCUUGGGGUCCCUCUGCUAUUUGUAUCUUCCCUGAGGCCCUCUGCCUCCCCCAGCUCUAUUCUGGCUCACCCCCUUUUUCCUCUCUUCCCCCAUCCCCUACCCAGGUGCGGUCGACACCAUCUUCUCCCUUCAGGGAGACUCCAGCCUGUUUGUGGCCUCGGCGGCCAGUCAGCUCCUGGUACACGUCCUGGCUUUGUCCAUGCAAGGUGGAGCCGAGGGACAGCCCUGCCUGCCGGGGGGUGACUGGCCCGCGUGUGCCCAGAGGAUCAUGGAUCACGUUGAAGAGUCCUUGUGCUCCGCGGCCACCCCCAAGGUCACUCAGGCCCUGAACGUCCUGACCACAACCUUCGGGCGCUGCCAGAGCCCCUGGACGGAAGCCCUGUGGGUGCGGCUGAGUCCCCGCGUGGCGUGUCUGCUGGAGAGAGACCCCAUCCCCGCCGCACACUCGUUCGUGGACCUGCUUCUCUGUGUGGCUCGGUCAGGGCCCCGGGACGCAGCUGGGGGGCCUGGGUGGGCAAUUGUUUUCCUCGGAUAACGCCCAGGGAUGUCCCACUGGCAGCCAGAGACUCUCUGAGGACGUGGCCUGCAGUGAAGCGGCACCGGGGUGACCCUGGAACCCUCAUGGGGAAAGGCCUGUCUUGGGCUGGGCGCCUCCAGCGCCGGAGCCAUGGCAGUCUCAGCCAGGCCUCGAAUGGGGUUUUGAGGGUGGGGGAGUAAUUUUUCUCUCUGGGGUCUCCCUGCAGUUCUCCCGUGUUCAGUUCUUCCGACGGCAGCCUGUGGGAGACAGUGGCGCGGGCUCUGAGCUGCCUGGGUCCCACCCACAUGGGACCCCUGGCUUUGGGGAUCCUGAAGCUCGAGCACUGGUAUGGUCUGGGGUGCAUUUCAUUCCGAGGCGGGUGCUGGGAGCUGGGGCAGGCAGGGAGGUUGAGAGCGUGGCCCUCAUGGCAGGGGAGUUCCGGACACCAGGGACAGUCAGGCGGCCGUGCGGGGUGUGACUGGGCGGUGCGUGGGUUGUGCGCAGCAGCUUCUGCAGGAUCUUUAGCAACAGAAUAAUUGUUUCAGACCAAAGCUCUGCGAGAUCCCCAGAGGUGAGAAGAAUGCGGGAGCUGCUCUGCUCAGAGCAGGGUGGUCCUGCCGACGCCCUGCGCUCCGCUGCCCUCCCACCUGUCCCCCACCGCAGCUUUGGUUGGGGGUUUCGGAGCUCCCCAGCACACACACCAUGCGGGUGGGGGGCCUGGGGGCGGUGCAACGGCAGAGCCUGGGGUCAGGACAGGUGGGAAGGCCGUGGAUGGUCUGCCAGUGUUCCAGGUGGGCUCACAUUAGGGGUGGAAGUGACCUCAGGACCUGCUGCCCACAGGGCCCAGGGGUACCAUGAGGGUCCAGCUCUGAGCUCCGGGGUCUCCGAAUGUUUAGGAGAGAGUAGACCGGGGGAGGAUGGAAGAACAGGCCCGGCCCUGCAGGAAUGCACUGUGGGGACACUGCCUCCACCUGGGCCCAGAUGUGAGGGCAGGUCCCUCCCACAGAGUGGACGCUGUACACACCUGGGGACACCCGGGAGGCUGGGGGCACCCCAUCCCUGUCCCCCUGAGCGGGCACUGCCCCUCUCUCUGGGUGCAUGGCCAGGCCCUCCUGGAGGCCCCUCAGCAUCUGCUCCUAAGGACAUCAGGAGUGUCAGGCCCAUCUCCUUGGUCAGGCCUGUCCUCCCCGCCACUCUGUCCCAUGGCGUCCCCUGGCCAGUGGCCUGCAGAGAAUGUUUCUCGGGGGGUGUCCCAACCCCCUGGCUGAUUUGCCCCAGGCUUGCUGGGGACAUUAGGAGCACAGCCAACUUGUCUCGCAGCCAGGGUCGCGGCACUCACCUCGCGUUUGUCUCCAGUCCACAGGCACUGAGGACCCAGGCCUUCCAGGUCCUUCUCCAGCCCCUGGCCUGUGUCCUGAAGGCCACGGUUCAGGCCCCCGGACCCCCAGGUGUGCUGCUCAGAAAGGGCUGGGAGGGCAGAACCUGGGUCCCUGCGGUUGGGGGAAGGGAGAUGGAUGAGAGUACCUGGCUCGCCACCCCCGCCCCACUUUAAUCACACCCAGGCCUCCCUCCAAGAGCAAAGGGGACCGGGGACAUGGCCAUCUCCCCUGGUGAGCUGCUGCCCUGCACCUAGGUCCUGGCCUGUGCUGUGGGUGGUGACCGUGGGGUGGCUGGUGACCGUGGGGAGGCUGAAGUGCUCUCUAAGGGAGCUCUUCCUGGCUUGGCCCCCAGGCUUGCUGGACGGGACGGCAGACGAUGCCACGACGGUGGACACACUCCUGGCCUCCAAGUCGUCCUGCGCGGGCCUCCUGUGCCGCACCCUGGCUCACCUGGAGGAGCUGCAGCCGCUGCCCCAGCGCCCUUCACCGUGGCCCCAGGCGUCUCUACUGGGGGCUACAGUGACUGUCCUGCGGCUCUGUGACGGCUCAGCUGCCCCUGCCUCCAGUGUGGGGGGCCACCUCUGUGGGACCCUGGCGGGCUGCGUCCGGGUCCAGCGAGCAGCCCUCGACUUCCUGGGGACACUGUCACAGGGGACAGGUGAGUGUGUUCUGUACGGCUUUGGCGUGGGGCGAUCCCCGUGCCCCCACUCUCCUUUCUGCUCGGAGGCACCCGGGAACUGCUGUCCCUCUCUGUUUCUUCCUGGGGUGGGGGCUGAGGGGUGCAGGGGCCGUGCAGGAGGUUUCAGCUGGCGGAUGAGGCCUUGUUCUGCUCCUUCCCAGAGUUGAUGGGGAGGGUCCUAGGGUGGGGGUGGGGGUGGUUUAUCCACUCACCUCUGUCUCAGGCCCCCAGGAGCUGGUGACGCAGGCGCUUGCUGUCCUCCUGGAGUGCCUCGAGAGCCCCGGCUCCAGCCCCACGGUACGGUGGUGGGGAUAGAGAGCGAGGAGAGGAGGGAGGCAGAGGCAGUGGGACCCACCCCUGACUCCACCCCGUCCCGUGCAGGCCUCUGCGGAUGGGGCCUUCACACAGGGCCACAGAGCUGCUGCUCAGAGAGCUUCACGACGCAGGUGGCUGCAUGGGGCGGGCCCAGGGCCUCUUGUUGGUGAAGAUACAUCAGCACGCAGGGGUGUGUGGGGCCGUGGGGAGCAGGGGCACUGGCCAGGCGGCCUGCGGGGAAUUCUGGACAAGGGAAAUGAGGUGGUACCAGGACGGCCCUGGGCGUGGGCUUUGGGUUCUCCUAAGCGCCGUUUGUGAACGUGCCCACUCCACAGCCCCUCACAGAGCUGGGCCCUGGCAGGUACAGACCUUGUGCCACCUGCCGCUGAGCAGACAGCAGACAACUUUGGAGGAAGGACCCAGGGCUUCUUGGGAUCCUAAGGAAAAGGUGCCCUGCGUUAAUUGGUCAUGUUUUGAUGUAGAAAUCCCGUUGCCUGGGUUGUGGGUCUUCUGGUGAGGGCUGCCACCACCUCCUCCUGCUCACAGUCUGGGAAGCCGGUUCUGCAGCAUAUUCUGCCCUAUUAAAAUCAGCCCAGGAGGGGCGUGGGGCUCACAGCUGUGAUUACUGUGCGUUGGGGGGCCGAGGUGGGGGGAUCAAUGGAGCCCAGGACUUUUGAGGCCAGCCUGGGCAACAUAGCAAGAUCCCAUCUCUACAAAAAAAUAGAAAAAUUAGCCCCAGGGGUAUAGCUCAGGGGUAGAGCAUUUGACUGCAAAAAUUAGCCAGGCAUGGUGAUGUGUGCCUCUAGCCCCAGCUACUCAUGAGGCUGAGGCAGGAGGAUUGUUUGAGCCUGGGACGUGGAGGCUGCAUGAACUGUGAUUACAGUCCAGCCUGGAUGACACGUUGAGACCCUGUCUCUAAAAAAGAAGGAAGCCCAGCGUUCCCUUCUCUCUCCACUUCCUGUCCCCAUUGCUGUCCCUGGAGUAUGGGCAGCACAGGUGAAGGCGAGGGGGACAGACAGACAGCCUGCCCCUCCGUCUCCCGUGGCCCUGCAGCCCACCCUAUCUGCUCCAGGUUCUGAAGAAGGCCUUCCAGGCCACGCUCAGGUGGCUCCUGAGCUCACCCAAGACCCCCGGCUGCUCUGAUCUCGGCCCCCUCAUCCCGCAGUUCCUCAGAGGUAACGCGGCCCCUUGCAGGGGUGAACGGAGCUGGAGUCGCAGGGGUGGAGGCAGCAGGGGCUGGGUGGAAUGGCUCAGCUGGCUCUGAGGGCAGGGUGAGCCUGGCCCCAAGGUCACCCUGACCUGUCCCUUCCCACCCUAGAGCUGUUCCCUGUGCUGCAGAAACGCCUGUGCCACCCCUGCUGGGAGGUGAGGGACUCCGCCCUCGAGUUCCUGACCCAGCUGAGCAGGCACUGGGGAGAGCCUGUUCCCGGAGCUCCUGCACAUCCUCUCCGUAGACUCGGAGGGCUUCCCACGGCGGGCGGUCAUGCAAGUCUUCACUGAGUGGCUGCGGGACGGCCACGCCGACGCGGCCCGGGACAUGGAGCAGUUCGUGGCCACUGUGCUGCAGGUGGCGAGCCGGGACCUGGACUGGGAGGUCCGCGCCCAGGGCCUGGAGCUGGCCCUCGUGUUCCUGGGCCAGACUUUGGGGCCGCUGCGUACCCACUGCCCCUAUGCCGUGGCCCUACCCGAGGUGGCCCCAGCCCAGCCACUCACCGAGGCACUGAGGGCUCUCUGCCACGUGGGGCUCUUUGACUUCGCCUUUUGUGCCUUGUUUGACUGCGACCGCCCUGUGGCGCAGAAGUCUUGUGACCUCCUUCUCUUCCUGAGGGACAAGAUUGCUUCCUACAGCAGCCUGCGGGAGGCCAGGGGCGGCCCCAACACUGCCUCCGCAGAGGCCACCCUGCCGAGGUGGCGGGCGGGUGAGCAGGCCCAGCCCCCAGGGGACCAGGAGCCUGAGGCUGUGCUGGCCAUGCUCAGGUCCCUAGACCUGGAGGGCCUGCGGAGCACACUGGCCGAGAGCAGCGACCACGUGGAGAAGAGUCCCCAGUCCCUCCUGCAGGACAUGCUGGCCACGGGAGGCUUCCUGCAGGGGGAUGAGGCCGACUGCUACUGAGCAGAACCAGAGUCUGCCACUGGGGCUCAGAACCAAGGGAGGCAGCACCAUGUCCUUCUGUGGGACACUGCCAGCCCCAGGGCUCCAGACCAGCCCGGCGGAUCCUCUGGGGAAGCCAGGACCAGGAGAGAAGCAAGGUCAAGAAAUCCCACAGUUUGAUGUAUUAAAGAAAUGACUUAUUUCUACUC
rnacentral:sRNA from 1 species